AUGUUUGAAUGUGUGUUGUGUAAAGAUGUGUUUGUGAUCAUGUGUUUAAAGUGCAGCAUCACUCGUCCUAAAGUGAGCGUCCUGCCGCCCUCCAGUGAAGAGAUUUCCACAAAGAACACAGCAACACUGAUGUGUGUGGCCAACAAGGGCUUCCCCUCAGACUGGAGCCUGAGCUGGAAGGUGGACGGGAGCAGCAGGUCUGAGAAGAGCAGUGCUGGGGUCCUGGAGAAGGACGGUCUGUACAGCUGGAGCAGCAGUCUGACUCUCUCUCAGGAGGAGUGGAUGAAGGCGGUCACAGUGAGCUGUGAGGCCAAACAGAAAGACCAGCUGUCAGUCACUGGAGAAGUGAGGAGAGAUCAGUGUUCUGAGUAG